UUCCUUCGGGAAGCGAGCGUACACAGGUGCUGCAUGGCUGUCGUCAGCUCGUGCCGUGAGGUGUUGGGUUAAGUCCCGCAACGAGCGCAACCCUAUUGCCAGUUGCUACCAGGUAAUGCUGGGCACUCUGGUGAGACUGCCCCGGUUAACGGGGAGGAAGGUGGGGACGACGUCAAGUCAUCAUGGCCCUUACGCCUAGGGCUACACACGUACUACAAUGGCGCAUACAAAGGGCAGCGAUACCGCGAGGUGGAGCCAAUCCCAAAAAGUGCGUCCCAGUCCGGAUUGCAGUCUGCAACUCGACUGCAUGAAGUUGGAAUCGCUAGUAAUUCGAGAUCAGCAUGCUCGGGUGAAUGCGUUCCCGGGCCUU
rnacentral:rRNA from 1 species